rnacentral:rRNA from 1 species
CACGUAGGGCGCGAGCGUUGUCCGGAAUUAUUGGGCGUAAAGAGCUCGUAGGCGGCCUGUUGCGUCCGCUGUGAAAACCCGGGGCUCAACCCCGGGCGUGCAUUCGAUACUGCGCGGCUCGAGACAGGUAGGGGAGGAUCGGAAUUCCUGGUGUAGCGGUGAAAUGCGCAGAUAUCAGGAGGAACACCGGUGGCGAAGGCGGAUCUCUGGGCCUGUUCUGACGCUGAGGCGCGAAAGCUAGGGGAGCGAACGGG